UCUGGGGGGGGGCGCGCUGUCACUCGCAGCUCUCUGCCCCUGCCUGGCCCACUCCCUCUCUCUCUCUCUCAGAGCCGGGCGCAAAGCCCCGCCCCCUCAAGCUCCGCCCACCCGGAGCAGAAGCAGUUCCCAUGAGGGGGGGUGGGGCUUGAAUGAAGAGCAUUCCAAAGCGGAAACCUCGUUCCUAUUGGGAACUCAAAGGUGGUGUACAGGGUUCUCCAUUCCCCAUUUUAUCCGCAAAACAACUUUCUGAGGCACAUUAGGUUGAAAGACAGUGACUUGGAGAAUUUCAGUAGAAAUUAAGGAGUGGUACCUCAGGUUACAUACGCUGCAGGUUACAGACUCCGCUAACCCA